rnacentral:misc_RNA from 1 species
GAUGAAGAACGUAGCGAAAUGCGAUAAGUAAUGUGAAUUGCAGAAUUCAGUGAAUCAUCGAAUCUUUGAACGCACAUUGCGCCCCUUGGUAUUCCGAGGGGCAUGCCUGUUCGAGCGUCAUAUUAACCACUCCCGCUUGCGGGGUCUUGGGCUUCGCCUCCGGGCGGGCCUUAAAAUCAGUGGCGGUGCCGUCGGGCUCUACGCGUAGUAAAUUUUCUCGCGAUAGGGUCCCGGUGGAUGCUUGCCAACGACCCCCAACUUCUUAAGGUUGACCUCGGAUCAGGUAGGGAUACCCGCUGAACUUAAGCAUAUCAAUAAGCGGAGGA